rnacentral:rRNA from 1 species
UACGAGGGGUGCAAGCGUUGUUCGGAUUCAUUGGGCGUAAAGGGUGCGUAGGUGGCGCUGUAAGUCGGGUGUGAAAUUUCGGAGCUUAACUCCGAAACUGCAUUCGAUACUGCGGUGCUUGAGGACUGGAGAGGAGACUGGAAUUCAUGGUGUAGCAGUGAAAUGCGUAGAGAUCAUGAGGAAGACCAGUGGCGAAGGCGGGUCUCUGGACAGUUCCUGACACUGAGGCACGAAGGCCAGGGGAGCAAACGGG